CUACUUACACAUGCACGCACACAUACACUCAUACACAUACACACUCUACACACACAUAUGUACUCAUGUACACACACUACCCGAUAUGCAUGCUACACCUACACACACACUGCAGGCAGCCAUCCUACCCCAGGGAGCAUGACCAGCUGCCUCGUGUCAGGGGUAAUGGGGCAGGGGAAUGAUUCGCUACAAGCCCCUCUCAACACAGCAGCCCACCCCACACCCCUCCAACUCUUAUCAGUUGAUAGAAAAGGGGGGAAAUGAGAUGGAGUCAGCUGGGAAACCUCAAGUCUCCAGGCCGAGACAUGUGAUGCAGGGGAAGACUUUUGCCCCUAGCAUGGAAGUUGCUGCAGCUCUAAUCUUGCAAGAAAACCUGUGCAGACAGCGCCUGGGCCAGGGGAACCAACGCUGCCAGAGUUUUAGUCUCCCCUACACACAGAAGCUGGGCCACCCAGCGCACACAAAGCAUCAUCCUUCGGACGGUGACAAGGCCACAGUGGCUAGGAAGGCCUUUAGACCAAUAUAUCUUAUUCCUUUUGGAGAGAUAAACCCAGAAUAUUUUGCUGAGGUGAUGAUGCCAUUGCUCUGAGCAAGGUGGCUGAAGGGAUUUUCUGCUCAGGAUUUCAGCAUAACCUUCUGACAGGCCAUGUAGAAAAGUUUUCUCCAUCCUCAAGUCAACAGAAGAAUACAAACCUCUGAAAAUAGAAAGCUUAGUGCAAAUGGUGUCAUCCUUAACAUGUGAGGUAACUGCUUACAUAGCAGCAACUGCUGUAAAAAAAAAGCCCUAGCAAUAAAAAGUUAAUAAUUGGAUUCCUCUGGAUUCAAACCUUC